rnacentral:lncRNA from 1 species
GCCAUCUCUGCUGGAGUGUGAGUAAGGUUCUCCUAACUUUGAAUCGGGAGCGGGAGGUGAAAGUGAAACUGUACACAACCAGACAGCAAUGGAUGUAAGUUUUCUUUUAAAAACGAACCAACCCACCCCAGUUUGUUUCCCUUCUGCUCACAGACAGAAAGGCAGCUCUGGAGGCAGUGGUGAAAAGUUUGGGACCUGGCUUUGUAGCAGAGUUCAAUAAACAUAAGUCGCUUCAGGCAGCCGGGCAAGGAUCGUCGGGAUCAGGAAAGUCCCCCUCUCAUGGACUCUUGAGGAAGAUGCCUGGAAAUACGAAGAAGCCAUUGAAAACAAGUGUUUCUCCAAAGUCUUCAAGGAAAGACUUGUCUUCUUUUCCUGGGUCGAGUUCUUCAUCUCCUGAAAGUGAUGAUUUACCCCAAAGCAAAGACACGGAAGAGGAUGAGGAAGACGGAUCCACAGGAACCAGCGGACCUCGUCCUACUUCUUAUAAUAGGCUGUUGAGAGAGGAAUUGCUGAGUUGUGGGACAGUCCUUCAAAUAUCGGAUUUACCGGAUGAUGGCUUUUCAGAUCAAGAUAUUAAAAAAAUUGUUCAGCCAUUUGGCAAAGUUAGUGAUCUCAUUGUACUUCGCUCUAGAAAUGAGGUAAGUUUUCCUGUAGAGUGGUUUUGUGUCAGAAUGCAAAAAAAAAUAUCAAGCAAUAAAAAAAGGGUAGUAUUUGGAUCCUCAGCUGAACAUAGGAUAAGGCUUCCUGAACUGUCACAGUCAUAAUUUUGGAAUAGCUGGAAAUGUUAACUUUAGAAAUUCAGUCUUGCUUGCUACCUAAGUCAUAAGCGCUAAUGGAAGUAGGAUGUCUUCUGCAGAAUACUGAAAUCCGGACUUUUUCAUCAAACUCCACAUGAACGUAGAGAGAGGUGCACGUGCAAUUCUGUCAUGAGCAGAUUUUCUAAGGAAAAAUUGCAGCAAAUUGUAUCUUGUGUCUGUAAUAGAAAUCAAGCCUGAAAGUGCCAUUUAUUUCAGGCUUUCUUGGAAAUGAACUACAAAGAAGCAGUGAUAGCAGCUGUGAAAUACGGCGAAACUGUGCCAGUGCUGGUAAAUGGGAAACGGGUGAAAAUUAGUGUAGCAGAGAAGCCAAAAGCGUCUGCUGGCCAGGUGAGCAGCAUCGUAAGUUGUGUGUAGCUUGGUGUUCUGUGCCAAAACUCGAUGUACUGCAGGAAAAUAGAUUUCAUAGUUUUAAUAUCUUUUUAAAUUUCCUUUUUAUAAAUAGUGGUCUAAAAUAAAUAAUAUGAAAACACACUCCCUAAUUCCAGGUUUCCAUUUUUCUUUAAAUUUGC